UGAGGAAUAUUGGUCAAUGGGCGGAAGCCUGAACCAGCCAAGUAGCGUGCAGGAAGACGGCCCUACGGGUUGUAAACUGCUUUUAUGCGGGGAUAAAGUGCAAUACGUGUAUUGCUUUGCAGGUACCGCAUGAAUAAGGACCGGCUAAUUCCGUGCCAGCAGCCGCGGUAAUACGGAAGGUCCGGGCGUUAUCCGGAUUUAUUGGGUUUAAAGGGAGCGCAGGCCGCCCCUUAAGCGUGUUGUGAAAUGCCGCGGCUCAACCGUGGCACUGCAGCGCGAACUGGGGGGCUUGAGUGCGCUGGAGGUAGGCGGAAUUCGUGGUGUAGCGGUGAAAUGCUUAGAUAUCACGAAGAACUCCGAUUGCGAAGGCAGCCUACCGUAGCGUUACUGACGCUGAGGCUCGAAGGUGCGGGUAUCGAACAGG
rnacentral:rRNA from 1 species